AAUAAUUAUAUGGUCUGAAAAUAAGAAUAAUUUUGCUUUUUCUUAGCCAAUAUUUAUAUCUCUUAUUUUGUUUCACAGGAAAGUAUAAAUAGGAAAAAUAUUUCCUUCACAAUAGCAACACAACUCAUGAAAUACACAGAAAUAAGAGAGUAAAUGAGUGUAUGAAUUAUAUGAAGAAAACUAUGGAACUCUACCAAGGAGUCUUAAUGCCUGGUGAGAUGUCCAUUUUCAUGGGGUGAUUCAACACCAGGAAGAAGCCUUUUCUCCCCACAUCAAUCUACAGAGUCAGAGAAACUCUAGUAGGAUUCUAAUAGGAUAUUUAUUGAAUUGUGACAAAGAAUUUCAAAAGUUCAUUGGGUAUGAAAUAAAAAUGAGAUAAUCUCAGAAAAUUUUAAAGAAGAAUAAUUGUUAGGAGGGUCAGCCUGACUAGCCACUCCAAUAAGAAGUAAGAGUAACUUAAACAGAAUGGUACUGAUGUGAGCAUGGGCAAGACCAGGAGAAGAGCACGGUCGUGACGCAACCCCAAGCACACACUGGAAAUGGAACAGGACAGAGACGGCAUCACUCGGCAGAAGAGUAGAGAGAAGAGAAGAUUCUUCUCGUGCCUGUGUCUUUCUCAAGACAGUGCCAAGGAUCAACUGUCAGAGACGCUGAUUUCAAGAAACGGAGCCCUGUAGGCACCUGAGUUUUCCCUCCUUCUCCCAAGAAUAUGAAAAUAUCCCUUCAACCUGGGCUUCUUCUCUACAGACCCGAAAUGCCACCAAACCCUCAGCCUGGGCUCAGAGACUGUAUUUUCUGUCUUCAAUAGUCUUUGUCUUUCUCACCUAAAUGCUUUGCCUGGAUUCGGUCGCAAUUAAACGUUCCUAUGCAGGCGAUGGGAAGAGGCAGAAAAGAGAUUAAACACCCCUGAUUUGCUCACAGUGUUUAACAUCUGUUUGAGAAAACCUAAAACCCAUUACAAAUACGGGUCCUUGUAUAAGACAAGCGACAAUAAUGACAGCAACCAGUUACUGAUUCUUCACUGCUUCCUGGCAGCUGCUCUGUAUAUUUUCUCUUAAAAACAUUUUUUUGGGGUUUUAAUUAUGAUUAAAAAACAUAUAGUAUUUACCAUCUUAGCCACUUUGAAGUGUACAGAUCAGUGGUGUUAAUUAUAUUCACCUUGUUGUGCAACAGAUCUCCAGAAUUUUAUGUUUUGCAAAACUGAGAGUCUAUACCCAUUGAACACCUCCCCAGCCCCCGCCCCAGCCCCUGAC
rnacentral:lncRNA from 1 species